rnacentral:rRNA from 1 species
UACGUAGGGGGCAAGCGUUGUCCGGAUUUAUUGGGCGUAAAGAGCGUGUAGGCGGCCCGGUAAGUCCGCUGUAAAAGUCAAAGGCUCAACCUUUGAAUGUCAGUGGAUACUGCCGGGCUAGAGUCCGGAAGAGGCGAGUGGAACUCCUGGUGUAGCGGUGGAAUGCGCAGAUAUCAGGAAGAACACCAACGGCGAAGGCAGCUCGCUAGGACGGUACUGACGCUGAGGCACGAAGGCCAGGGGAGCAAACGGG